ACAAAGGAGCCGUUUAAGUGGAAACGCGAGAUCUGUCACGUAUUUACAUCACGAGGCUUCCACGUGAUCUUUCGAAAUGUUCUGGCCCUUUGGAUGACCUCCAUAGAACGCCACUAAUAACUUUCGUUGCUGUGUCAAGAUGCUUCAAAAGGAGAAGCCGGUGUUGGCUCGUCGCUAGACGCCGAGCAAAUUCAUAUUUUUAUGGACACGAAUAAAAAGAUGGAUCGAUGACAGAUAGUACAAAGAAUACUUUGCCUAAUAUUUACCUAAACUUUGUAUGUUUCGCACAUUAUGUAAAUUCUGUAUAAGUUCAUUUAAGUUUCACAUAAAUGCAUGAGUAUUUACGGUCUGUUUAUCGUCAUACAGUAGCUACAGAAAGUAUUUGUACAUACUCUUUCAUUUUUCAAUUAAAUGUUCCUUAACCCCUUAACCUACAGCUACGGGCAUAGCCCGUAGUACGAUGAUCGAACCAAACGUAAAUAUUACGGGCAUAACCCGUAGUAGAUGAUCGGACCAAACGUAAAUAUUACGGGCAUAGCCCGUAGUACGUACUACACAAGUCGUGCGAAUGGCUCGAAGGCUGCGCGAGUUUGUUUACAUUUUCGGCCCAAAAUUCUCAAACGUAAAUCGUAGGUUAAGGGGGGGGGGGCUAAGGUUAAUUCGUACAAAAAUAAGGCAUGUUUUUGUGAAUUAUUUGUGACGACACAGUUAAAAUCUCUUUAUUAAAACCAAUAGUACAUUAAAGUAUGACAUUCGAAGAAUAUUGUGUAAAAUUUUCACGGAGAAAUAUUAAAAAAUACGGCAAUGGCAGCAAUUAUUCGGACGUGUCUCGGAAAAAAGGUAGAACACAGACGUUAACUCUUUUAAUGUCGAAAUAACAACAAACAAUAGCUUCUCAUUUGGGACUUCUAAGGGAAUAUUAGAUAUGACCUGCAGCUCGUUCUAUUAGGGAGUAGUGAAGUUUACCUGGACCUUCUUAGAAAAAUAUUUAAAGAAAGACGAAGCUUAAAGGAUAUGGAUUUAUUAUAGUUUAAGUAUAGUACAGAUUUAUUUAGUGAUGAAGUUAUUGCUUCGGUGGUAGGAAAAUUUGUGAAUUAUAUCGAAUAAAGGUUAACUAUUCCACGGAGUUGUAAACGUGAUUCGAAUAUGGUAAUGGCAUGUGAUCGUGACGAAUACGAGACAGCCUAGCACGUGUCCUCGUGAGUGAAAGCCAUGGGUCGCCCUGUGGCUUACAAAAUUCGUAAUUAUAAUUAUGUAUCAGAGUUUUGACCCGGUAUAAAGUCCACCACAAGUGUGCUUAUUAAAGUAUUGGAAUUGAAUGUGCCAUAUGGCAUUGACUCGUAUCAACGUCAUUUGCCAUCCAAAUGUAUCACCGUUAUCUAUGUUGUCUCCAAUUUCUUUUCUCAUUAAAAAACUCCGUCGUUAGGAAAAAACACGAAAUCCAUCGAAUUUCUUCGAUUCCUUUCCUGGGGAAGCUUAAUACUUGAAUGACAUUUCUCAAGGAAGCUUCUCGAGUAAGCCUUUCAAGUAUAAUGCAUACCUCUAAAGUACAACUUUCUUCGCAACUCGUAAAACUAAUAAAUUUUCCAACUACUAUGUAGAAACACAAACUCGAUGAAGCGGAGUCAGUUACCUUCUUACUCUAUUUCCUAUCUUCUACAUUUUAUGUUUCUAUCUUAUUCUACUUCUUUUUCUAUUGCAAUAUUGUUUAUUAUAGUAUCAACAUAUAUCAACAUCAUAGUUGAAAAUUUGACUGAAAAACGUAAACAAUUAUCAUUAACAUAGAGUAAAGUUAGGCUUAUAAUACGAUUUAACAAACUCAGCAUUAAGUAUCAUAUAAAUUUAUAUCAUAACGUAAAGUUAAGCCUAUAUUAUAAAUUAAAUAACGCCAGAGGUAAUAAAUCGUCUGAAUGACGAAAGGGAGUCAUUAAAAAGAUCGAGCACAUCACAAAAACGGUUUGCAGAUAGACAAAUCCGAUUAAAACAGUUAUUUUGACUGUACAAAGUUCGGUGUGUUUCCAACUUGAAAAAAGUAUGGCUUCUAAGAUAGUGUGCGAAGAUAUGAAAGUCGAGCAUGUGCAGAAUAUCUCGAGAAGCAAUCAGCUGAUUGAUUACAGUGUAUAUAAACAAGAGAUCGGCUAAGGUAGAACGCUGUUGGAGCGGCCAUCAAACCCAAGUGAGCAAUAAUAGGAUCGUAAUUAUGGCAAUAGGUUGACAUGGGCGAAACGGUAUAGCACGAAGCAAGUGUAAGAAAUUUGCGCUGCACACUUUCAAUUGUUGCGAUACGAUUUUUAAUAUAGGGAGGUCAUAUUACGUAACCAUACUCUAAUAUAAAUCAAGCCAAACAUUUAUAAAAUAAUAAAAGAGUGGUAACGUCAGAGAAUACUUAAACUAUACUGAAAGAAGCUUCUCAAUUUAAUGUGCGUACUUUUAUGUAUAAAUCAAAAAACUAAUGGACUUGCUACUGAUUCAAUUAUCGAGUAUAUUAGCAAGUCAUUAUUUUGCCAAUCGUCGAUUAUCAGAGACACAGUUUUUUUCGAAGAGGUAUGUUAGCUCUUGACUACGAAAAAUUGUGUCGUUGACGCCGAUAAACGCUAACGUUAUGUAACAAUUCAUUGAUCUCUGGCUUAGUAGCAGUGUAAAGCGAGGUAGAAGAGACGGUAAAAUCACAUGGGCGGUUAUUAUAGAAGUGUAGACAGCGAAGCAUCCGCUCACGAUGCGUAUCCAGUUUUCACGCUCUAUUCGCGUGAUUAUAGUAGGAAAGUGGAGGCGGAAUACUUCAUACAUAGUGAGGUUGUAAAAAAUCGGUUAGUAGACCGAUAUAUAGAGUGGCUGUAAAAAUUAUAUAUAAUACUCUUAUCUUCCAGUUAAACGAUUUUCUUUGUCAGCUUCUAUAUAUUUCAAUUUUAUAGUAUUAAAUUUUUUAAUUAUAUAAAAAUUUCAAAUGGUAUGAAAUUUAAUAUACUUGGAUCUAAUUAAUUAGUAUGUAAGUGCUGCAAUAAAUACAAUGGUAUAUUCAUACUUUUCAUAAAUAUUUUUUCAUAAAUAUUUGGUGGAAAAGAUAUAAUAAGGUUAUAAAUCAAUUAGUCGGUAGACGCGCUUAACGUUGUACGAAUCUGGUAAAAGGAUUUUGGGUGUAAGGCUAUAAAGUAUGAGAAAAAUAGUUGACAGAUGUUUUGAAUGAGGUUCCUACCUGCUUAAUGUUCUUACUUGUCUUAAAUUAUUGUUUCAGCCCUAUUUUAACGUCAAUAGCUGAAUAAUCUUAUACUAUAGAUAAUAUAUACUAUAUACUAUAAUCUUAUAACACUAUAUACUAAUAAUCUUAUAUUAUAGGUACUUGACUGCACCUUUUUCACUUAAUAGUUUGGGAUAUUUUAGUUAUUUGUAGUUUGGGAUAUAAGAACAUACUUAGAGCAUCAUUAUAGACUGUUCGAUGUCAACUUGAAAGCUGUUCUUCCUCUGUAGUAUAUUUAAAAAAAAAAAAACUCUCUUCUUGAGAAAAGGAAUAAUUGUGACUCGUUUAGCAUUUUUAUCCUGGAAAUACCGAUUAUAUGAUCAUUAUAUAUACAUCAUUGGACUCUUGACGAUGAUAGGAAUUGAGAAACUAAAAUCGUACAACAUUUCAGACUAUUUACUGUAUCACUCAUAUUGAAUAAUUCCCAGAAUAUAAAAUUAAAUGUAUCAGAAUCUUUUAUGAGAUUAUAUAGUAAUCACUAGAAAAACAGGACAAAUUAUUUACUUAACCCAUUUACAUGAAAACAUAUAUACAUAUAAUUUUCUCUAGGUUGUACAUAAAAAUUACAAUCUUUGAAUUUGGCUUUUUUAAAGGAAUGGGAAUUGACUUAUUAGGUACACAACCUAAUAUUUUACGACCUCGCUACGUAUAUUUCUUCCAUUUCGAUACACGGGUGUACUCGAGUAGGAUACUUGAAAAAAAUCCUACGGAAGUCCGCUAAUUUUCUAAUUUCCUAUCGAGUAAUCGCAUUUAUGUAUGGACGUUGGCCCAUGUAACGACGAGAGGUUCCGGCGAAACUUGGACUCCAUUUAUCUACACUUUUUUCUAGCGUAUCUUCCUAUCAAGAAACGUGGGUGAGCGAAAAAUUAGACGCCAAUAACCCCAGUCAACGAUUCUCGAAACUAGUGGGCGAUUCGACGAUAGAUAAUCUUUCGUUAAAUUGUGGUCGUUCUGAUUUGCAUUCGUAAUACUUCAUUCGCUUGUUAUUCAAGCGCAUCGGAUAUUUAAUAUACAGCGAUCAAACGAUGUAUAUAUAAGAAUCAUAAAAAACCUUGAUGAUGACUAGGUUGAUUCUCACGAAAUAAAUUCUCUACGCGCAUGUAGCCGUGAUGUAAAGAGGUCUUUGGAACUUUGCUAUUGGCUAUGUAAAUAUGUACCUAUUUUUGUAAGCGAUUGUGAAAUUUGAUAUUUAUGCAAAACAGCAAUGAAAUAGGCAGAUAUGUAUCUUAGAAUUUUAAGUCUAGUUCUCAUUGAUUAUAUAUUUUGUAGUUUUAUUUUGUAAUGCAAAUUAUCUACUUGAAAAAGGCAAAGUAAAUGACGAUAUUCGUCUCGGUAUUACAAAUUACUUCAGUUUAAAUUAUGAAAUUCUCUAUUUAGAUAUCUAUUAGGCAAUGACGAGCAAGAAGUUCUGAUGAGUCUUUCGAACUUUGCAAUCGAUGAAUGUCAAGAAAUCGCCAUUCAAAUGAAAUAAAGUAAAUUGCGAUAUGUUACUCACUAUUAAUCAUUAGUUAUAAAAGUAGCAAUUUGUUCACGAAAUUUUGCAUAUAACUUUCAGAUUACGGUGAUUAAAAAGAGACAUUCCCUGAAAUUUUGUAAACAGUAAAAAAUGAAAGUAAUCUUUAAUAUUCGUUUUAUUACGAAGGAUUAUUUAAAACAGAUCAAUUUUUAUAUUCUUUUUGAGUAAUGGAUCUAAUGAAGUCGUAAAUUAAAAAAAGAUAAAUUUCAGAUUUUAAAGGCUAUUUCUGAAUUGAUAUUUACAAUCUGUACUUGUAAUCUUCCAUGAAGAUCAUACUAUAUCAACUCCUUAUCAAUUUCUACUUUAAGUAUAGUUAAUAAUACUACUAUAGUUAAUUGAUAAAAAUGUUCCUCCAGCUACAAAAUAAAUUUAUAGCUCUGAGUGAGUCGAUACUUUACGUUCUUGUCGAAACUCGAGCACCUUAUCUCGGUAAUUGAAAUUCCUGUUUCGGCGAUCAAAACUCGUGUUCUUUCAAGUCUGAUUAAGUUUGCAACCUCGCUAUAUCCUUUAGUAUGUAUUUAGUAUAUACCAAGCGUAUAUACAUGCAUGCAUAUCUUGAAUGGCCGGAAAAUUCUCGAGAAUUCUGAAUCGAUAAAUGUCAAGAACUUUAUUAUUAAAAAUUAUUAGUAAAAAGUACCAAAUUUUGCCAGUGAAAUUUUGCAAAUAAUUCUCGGACAACGUCUUCUAUCUUAUAGUAACAUUACAUAGCAAUAUAAUGAUCAAAUAUGAUCCUUCUUUUAAAUUUUCUAAUUGAUAUGUAUGAAGGAGUCAGCAUUUGAAUUUAAUAUAUUAGGUUAAAAAUUGAAAGGUAACAAUCAUGCGGCUGAUUACGUUCAUAUGUAGUCAACGCCAACUACGAGAGGCUCUUCCAGGAAUUUCGUAAUCAGUAGCAAUUAAAGAGUCGUCACAUAAAAGCAUAGUAACUUAGAAUAUUCUAUUCAUCGCUCAAAAUCAAUUAAAUUCAUUAUGCGAUGUUGUCGCCCUUUUCCUAUACAUAUUCCUAUACCUAAUCAAUGUCGAGGACAACAGGUUCAGCCCUAAUAUUUUGUAAUCAAUUUAGAUGUCAAUGAAUGGACAGUCGCUGCGUUAGCAUCCAAGGGCAAAGAUCACCGAGAGAGUUUCACAGAUUUAGGUCGUGUAGCGCUAGACAAAAUAAUAAAUAUAUACGUAGAUUAUGUAAUUGCACAAGAGACGCUGUCUGCCUUAUUUCGGUUUUUUGAGUGGGGUAGUAUGUAUGUACAUUCCACGAGGUAAACACAUUGAUCAGAUAACGAGCAAUAACACUUUUAAACAGUAUUGUUUCUAUCGUAUUACCUCGAUAACAUCCGAAAUAAACCUGAUUACACAUACAAACCAAAGAAUGCCGACCGGAUAUUAGUCAUCUCCGUAGAAGCUACAUAUAUGUAGUAUGUGUGCAAAUUUGCAGGUGCUCCCUCUUUCUUCUUAUUUUGGUUUGUUUCGAUUAUUGCAAUGUAUUACUUUACGUAUUUCGUUGAGUUCUUUUUUUUUUUUUUUGUUAAAUACACAAAUAAUUGUGACAAAAGAAGAAAAGGAACAUUGAACUGUUGUUACUUUUUUUAUUGUUUUUUUUUUUCUUUUGAGGCGAUGAAAGCAACAAGAGUGGAAACAUCGAAUGGGAUUUUUAUGAAUGCUCUAUCGAAAUUUCAAUUCUGUCUGUAAUAUUCGUUUUGAAAGAUAAUUCGUUAGAUAGAGAAUAAAUUAAGACAAAAGAGGAAAGAAGAUAUUCAUUCAGUUUUGAGCGCAAAAUUUCAUUUUGUUGCUCUUUCUAAACAUUGAAAAUGGAGUAGAUAUUUUAGAAUUUUUACAGAUUCUUUACGAUUGGUGAUUUGAAGGAAUCUCAAAUUUUGUUUUCGAUAUCUACUUAUUCUUGGAAAAUAAGUCGCAAGAUAAAAAGCAAGUUGAAACAAAUGAAGGAAGAACACAGUGAAUUUAAGAAAACUCAAAAGUGAAACAAAAAUUGCAGAAUUUUUAUGAAUUCGUGACAUUUAACCAUUUGAAGGGAUUUUGAACUCUGUCUCGUUCUGAAGCGAUAACUCGGUAUUAAUAACAUAUCGUUGUGGUCUUAUUGUCGCGACAAUUAUGCUUUUUAUAUUAGGUGCUAUAUUAUGGUAACCUCGAGCGCAUAUGUUACUAUAAUCGCGAUUUUUUUCCAUCACAGUUCAGUCGUAUUACGUAAAAAUUAGAUAUGCAAAUUAAUACUCCUUAAUCACGUCUGUUAUUAUGUAUUAACUCAAUGUUUUCUAUUAUCGAGUCAUUCUUUUUCUGUUUCGUUCUAUUCUUAAUUUUUGUAGCUCAAAACAACAGCGAAAAUUACGAUUGUAUUAUUACUGGUAAUCGAAUAACUAAAUUAAAUAUCCCACUUUAAAAUGAAUAAAAAUUACAUAUAAUCUACCAAUUUCGAAAUCUCGACAAUUGCAACGAUAAUUGCAGUCGUUCAUAGGUUAAAGUGAUUAACACGACUUGUGAAAUUCUUGAAAUUUUAGUGCCAAAUUAUUUGAUUGACGCUUCUCUUAUAUAAUUCUAUCAAUUUUCUCUAUUUUUUGCUUUGUGGAAUUAGUCAACUUAGCAGAUAAGCGCCCUAAUUACAGCUUAAAAUUUCUCGCUUCCCAAGAUAUAGAAACGCGUUUUCGCAGGAUCGGUAUUAUCUGCAGAUCGUUAUUUUUCCAAGCAAUCGCUGAUAAGGCGCGAUAAGCAGCGAUUGUUUGUCUUCUCCGUGCUUCUGCACUGACAUUUAGGGAAAUUUUCGCGUUUUUACUUUUCCCCCUCUUGUGUUACGCGAACGUUCGUAUCAAAUUCGCAUUGAAUUCGCGUGGUUUUUGCGCGGAAUUUCGCAUGCUCGAUAUGUAUCGUCGCGGAGGACAAAUCGCAGAAGGUGAAAUUGCGUAAACCAGUGACCGGAAAAAAUUGUUCUGCGAUUGUUCGCGAAACUUUGUCGACCAGUCACGAAAUGUUUAUUUUUAUUUAAUCUAAGAAGAAUUCGAUUGAUAAAAGAGAGACGUACAGUUGUUCGAUUCGUCUUUCUUCGUUCUAGAAGACAGUCGUUGCUUUUCUUUUUAAAUAGAACAAUUCGUCGGAGUUACGUCAUUUUUCUUUGGCACGUGUAUCGAGCCGAUAUACAAAGUGCCUCUUUACUUCACCUUAUCCUCUGAUUAACAGUUUCUUUGUGUUAGCAUUUACCCAUAAUGGUUUCCUAAGUAUUUAUGUAAGCUGUGUAAAAUUAAAAAGCUAGGAAUAAGAAACAUAAUACAAUUAUAGCUUUCUAAAUAAUUCAUUGCAAAUAUAUUACAAAAUACACAAAUAUCUGAAGGAGAUGAAAGGACAUCGGGACUUCCCGUCUGGAAUAUUGGGAAAAUCCCUAUACCUCAGUCCAGACUUUUACUAUAGCUACACUUAAAUAAUAAUAAUAAAAAAAAAAAGAAAUAGUUUUAAUGUUCUAAUCCGAUUUUAUGACAAUGGGUUUGGGCUCGAAGUGACAUAGCGAGUCACUGGACGUAGCCACGGUCACGGGAGACCUGACAGAGGUAUGGAAUGAUUAUAUGGCUCUCCUUAAAAACAAAGAUUAACCCGAGAGGUGGGGAGAGGAAUAUAUAAGGGCAGUUCCACUUGGAUUUUUUUUUUUUUUUUUUUUUGGAGUUCAUGCACAUAAGUUUUACUUGUACGUCGAGUUAUACGUGUAUCACAUCGCAUUCGUCAUCCCGUGGACCGUGGAUUCGUUAUCGAACCUGAAUUCGUUGUCAUCAACAUCUCGACCAUCCUAUCGCCGCUAUUACUUAUAGGCUCCUGUAGUGUCCACAUUUGUACCAAUAAACAUCAGCUAUAUCCGCGAUGGUAAAUUGAGUGAAGCUUCAUCGAACGCCCAAAAUUCCAACCUUAAUGCGACAUAUCUAUCUGAAUAAAUGGAAGAUCGAGUUUUAUCUGCAACCAUCUAAAAGAUGGCACGUACAGGGCUUCCUACAGACACACUUUUCAACUACAUUGAUGCCCGACUGGCACUGCCGAUUACCAGAUCUCUUAUCCUUUCACCACGAGGAAGUUGCCGCGGGUGGAGAUUGAUAGAGAAUUUUACCACAAGUUACCGACCACUAACGAAGUUCGCCAAGCGGACAUUUAAAUUAGUUAUAUCGUUUCGUCUCUAUCUGGAUGUGGUUUCUUUCUCAGCAGUGUCGCCUCUUGUUUUAUCUCUACUUCUCGACAAGACCUCAAUACCUUAUAAUCUCAACAAAGUCUACUCCUCGUUUCAAGCUUGUAAUCCUCGAAAAUUAAAAGUACAAGUGCACUACAUCGAUUCUUGUAUCCAGAAAGCAAGACCCACUGAACUUCUCCUAUCUGAUAUUCUACCUGGAAAUAUCUUUCAGGUCGACGUGUUUUACAGAACAAAUAAAGGAAGGAACUUCUGGGUAAUAGUUUUUCCGUACAUACACCGGGAAUCAUCGUACGGCAUGGGAUCAUUAGCUGUUCGCGGUCAACGUCUCUGGUCUCUCCUCGCACUCGGUUUCAAAGCCGCAGAAACUCGUCUAUUCCCGUGUCGACGAUUUUCCACGGUUCUGGUGUGCUUUUUCGUCCCUAUAUGUGUCGACGGGUCGACGAACGGCACACGGAUACGGCCCUGGCCAGCCCGCAAACAGCAUUUUUCCACGGCGACUCGGUUUACGCUCGCGGUUAAAAAGAAUCCGCUCCGUGUUGGUCGCGCGUCGCCACCCAAGUACCAACAGAAGAAAUGGCAGAGGCUAAAGACGGGCAGAACGAGCAAGGGAGCCGCUAUAGCGGGCAAAAAUCAAGAGAUACCGAGUCAAGUUCCGGGAAACGGUUAUAUCGUAUCGAUCGUAAAGUAGGAGAUGAUGAGAAAGCACGCGUAAUAACCGCGAAUGCGUUAAUAUUCUCUAACGUCGUUUAAAAUGGAUGGAAGAUGGAAAAUUUCAGUCGGAGCUGUCCGUCGAGUAUUUUAAGAAGUAAAAAUUACUUUAAACAAGGUUUCUCUUUGUUUAAAGAAUUGAAACGACGAAAGACGCAUGGUAGAUGCAAGUGUGUGAAUAUUUUACAGGAUUAAAAAUGCAAAUAUAAAUCGAUAACAUGUAUUUGGUACUGUAUAGAACAAAGAUUGUUUUAGAUUUCUCUGAUUCUCUUUAUUCAUUUUUUUUUCUUUUCUUUAGUCGGAGGUAGCGGAUAUAUAAUAACUGAGAGUGCGUGAGCAAUUUCUGUAUAAUAUAUAGAAUUGCAGCGACAAGGACACACGUGAAUUAAUCGCAUAUGUUUGAUAUUUCAAGAAGAAAAGAUUAGUCAAGUAUUAUGCAGUCUUCUCGUAUCAAAGAAUCAAAAAUGUGAUUGUAAGAUACAAGUAUAGUAUAGACAUUUUCUAUGAUUAAAAAUACUAUCUCGAAGGAAGAUUGAAUAUUUCAUCGAGUUAAAAUUCUUCCAACUUUGUUUGGUUUUCGUUUUACUUUCAGGACACCUUAGCUGAUAACGAGGAACGUGUCGUAACUAGAAACGUGCAAAUAUCCUCUGCGAUAAAAAUCAGAACCACAACUUGAUGGCAAGGAACGUGUGAUAACAACAGACGCUGAAACAUGUCCCAUGAUGAAAAAUAGGGUAGUUGACGAUAAUAACGAAAGACGCAUGCUUUUUCUCGAGUACAAGUCUCGAGUCAGCUGAUUGGCAGAAUCGCUAAUUAUUCUUUAAAAUAGACGAGGAUCUUUGGAAUUCCGAUUAAUCCAUGACCUCGGUUACUAGAAACGAGCUUCGACGUGCUACAAUAAACUUCAACAUUAGAACUACCAGAAUUAUGAAAAUGUCCAGUCGAUAGUUUUUCAUAGGAAUUUUAUAAAUAUACAGCGGAUUUUCUUCAUAAGCCAGGAUGAGGACAGUAAGAGUCAUAAGGCAGCGAACAAGAUUAUUUCUGACUAUAAUAACUAGUGCGAUUUGCUGUUCAGCGAACAAUAUGGAAAAUAGAAAAAUAUUCCCUGUUCUUGAAUUAUUGCAGAAAUUCUGAUUGAAUUAGAGAAGCAACGAAGAAAACGUGAAUUAUUAAUUUAUAAAGAUAAUUGUUAGAUGCUAAAUUAAGAUACCAUAAUCAUAGUGAUAGGACUAUAAAAUAUAUAUAAUGCAUGUGUAUACAUUAUUAAAAGGUCUUAAUAAACAUUAAGCUAUAGUUAAUCAACUGUCCACCCGUUGCAUUGCCUGUCCAGCAAUCCUAGAGUGACCAAACGCAACGCUUAAACGAGAAGCAACGUUCAGAAGCUUUAAACCAAUGUACAAAAACGAGAAACACGAAAAAUAGUCCUAAUCACAAUUAAAUUAAAUUAUAAGUACCGAAAGUUAAUCUAUUCUACUCCUCGUCUGCGGUUAACUUGUGCAGUGUCAUCUAGUACA